UACGGAGGGUGCGAGCGUUAAUCGGAAUUACAGGGCGUAAAGCGCACACAGGCGGUUUGUUAAGCUAGAUGUGAAAGCCCCGGGCUCAACCUGGGAUGGUCAUUUAGAACUGGCAGACUAGAGUCUUGGAGAGGGGAGUGGAAUUCCAGGUGUAGCGGUGAAAUGCAUAGAUAUCUGGAGGAACAUCAGUGGCGAAGGCGACUCCCUGGCCAAAGACUGACGCUCAUGUGCGAAAGUGUGGGUAGCGAACAGG
rnacentral:rRNA from 1 species